AUUUAUAAAGAACUGUGUAGAAAUAUUUCAGAGAUAAACCCAGUUAUGAAAAACAACCUAACUACCACCCCACCCAAGUGUUUAACCUUCGUCAUACCUUCCCAAAAUAACACUCAAAAUCCACAAAUCAUGCAUUCUUGUACGUAGGAUUCCUGAGAUUUCCAGAUUCUUGCAUUAGUCUCCCACCCUCUUUACGUCAGGGAGGGAAGCCAGUGUAUUUCCACCCUCUUUAUCUGAAGGAAGUGCCAAAAUAAGCCACGGGCCAGUGCAGCCGCAGUGCCCAAGUCUGGACACCUUUCCUACUGGUCACUCGGAGGAAGAAGGUUUUUAGGACCACAGCUUCAAAAUGACCACGAAUACUGUACGGGGGGCCGUGCUGCUGCUGCUAGCGUCUGUCCACGUGUUCAGACCAGUGUCUUCAGAUUCAUCAUCUGUACAAGCCCCAGAAAUACCUAAUCCUGUUGUAAGUGAAAACACAACCACUCCAGCUUCAACGACCCCUGGACCAAUGAGCCCGGACAGAGUCGUACAAUCUACACCUAACGUGAGCACAAAUCUGAAAACGGAGCCUCGCCGAUCCACCACAGCAAUGCCCAAAACCACAGUAGAAGCGAUACCGACGAACGCGACGGCGGCGGCGGAUAACGACGUGAACGCGACACAAACGGAGACGCAGCAGGUUAAUGGCACUUUAACUUCUGCUCUACAGCCUCCAGAUAAUUCCACAGAUCAGAGGGUGUCGCAGUUUCUGUUCACUACUCCUGGACCUGUAAACCCCAAAACAAAAGCCCCGAACGUAACGAUGACUGUUCACACGAAAAACACCACACACCCGACCCCUUCCCCGAUAUCUGACAAGAGACUGUGGUGGAUCCUGUUGGCGGCUCUUUUGGUGGUUGCUGCUGUCGCCAUAGUUCUGUACUUCAAAUCCAAGAAGGUCGCGGAUCACACAGACACGAUCGACAUUGGCACCGAGAACGCUUCGUUCCAGAGUCGUCCUGAAAGUACCAAAGAUGGCGUCAUGCUGCUGGGGGUGAAGUCGUCAGGAGCAGACGAGAACGCUGCAGCCAGAUAAAACCUCAAGUUUGGAGCCCGUGUCCCGCCCGUGUGACUGCCCCGCUCACUCUGCACCAACAAAACCACUUAGGCGUCUCCAGUACUGUCCACUUUUUUACUUUUUAUGUGGUUUUUUUUUUUUUUUUAAAUAGUGAAACUUUUAAAAUUUUGGUUUGACAAAAAAAUUGAAAAUGCAAAACGACAAAUGAAUUUCUCGUGUUCUUGAAAAUAUGUUUGAAACCCCAGAUAUUUGUACAGCCUCACGUCAGGUGCACUGGAUGUAAUAAAUCACGAUCACGUUUUUAAAUGUUCUUUGUGUGAAGUUGAAUCUGCAUCAUCUCGUUUUUUUAUAAAUUAGAAACUGUCUGUUAACUUUUUGCAUUAAAC
ensembl:lncRNA